GCAUAUCAAUAAGCGGAGGAAAAGAAACCAACAGGGAUUGCCUUAGUAACGGCGAGUGAAGCGGCAACAGCUCAAAUUUGAAAUCUGGCUUCGGCCCGAGUUGUAAUUUGCAGAGGAUGUUUAUGGUGCGGUACCUUCCGAGUUCCCUGGAACGGGACGCCACAGAGGGUGAGAGCCCCGUCUGGUUGGAUACCAAGCCUGUGUUAAACUCCUUCAACGAGUCGAGUAGUUUGGGAAUGCUGCUCUAAAUGGGAGGUAAAUCUCUUCUAAAGCUAAAUAUUGGCCAGAGACCGAUAGCGCACAAGUAGAGUGAUCGAAAGAUGAAAAGCACCUUGAAAAGGGGGUUAAACAGUACGUGAAAUUGUUGAAAGGGAAGCGUUUAUGACCAGACUUGUGCCGUGUGGCUCAUCCGAGGUUCUCCCCGGUGCACUCCACACGGCUCAGGCCAACAUCGGUUUUCGCUGGGGGAUAAGAACAGUAGGAACGUAGCUCCCCUCGGGGAGUGUUAUAGCCUAUUGUACGAUACCCUGGCGGGGACCGAGGACCGCGCUUCGGCUAGGAUGUUGGCGUAAUGGUCAUUAGCGACCCGUCUUGAAACACGGACC
rnacentral:rRNA from 1 species